GGGUCCGUAGCUCAGCUUGGUUAGAGCACUGCUCUGAUAAGGCAGGGGUCCUCAGUUCGAAUCUGAGCGGGCCCA
rnacentral:tRNA from 1 species